rnacentral:misc_RNA from 1 species
UCCGGUUUGUCACCGGCAGUCUCCCUAGAGUGCCCUUGCGUAGCAACUAGGGACAAGGGUUGCGCUCGUUGCGGGACUUAACCCAACAUCUCACGACACGAGCUGACGACAGCCAUGCAGCACCUGUGUUCGCGUUCCCUUUCGGGCACCCCCGCCUCUCAGCGGGCUGCGCGACAUGUCAAGGGUAGGUAAGGUUGUUCGCGUUGCAUCGAAUUAAUCCACAUCAUCCACCGCUUGUGCGGGUCCCCGUCAAUUCCUUUGAGUUUUAACCUUGCGGCCGUACUCCCCAGGCGGGCCACUUCACGCGUUAGCUGCGGCACUAGGAAAUCGCUUCCCCAACACCCAGUGGCCAUCGUUUAGGGCGUGGACUAC